AAACUGCGAUAAGUAGUGUGAAUUGCAUUUAGUGAAUCAUCGAAUCUUUGAACGCACCCUGCACUCACUGGUAUUCCGGUGAGUACGCCUGUUUCAGUAUCAUUGAAAACACACAAUCAAAACAUUUUCUUUGGUUUGAUUGGCUUUGGGUCUAUCAAAAAGUUUGGCUUGUUUCUUACAAGCCAAGCGGCCUGAAAUAUAUUGUCUGGCUAAUUGCAUCGUUGAUGAUCGCUAUUAGACUUUGGCUUUUUUAAAUGAACUGGAGGUUGAUUAACCAGUUUUAGCUUUAGUCAAAUGGUCAUUGUAAAAAAAAUCUCGAUCUUGGCUAGGUGUUUAUAGCCGAAAAUUUUUUUUUGGCUAUAACCGAAACCAUUAUAAUCACAUUUAGUUAUCGAUCUGAAAUCAGGUGGGACUACCCGCUGAACUUAAGC
rnacentral:misc_RNA from 1 species